rnacentral:rRNA from 1 species
UACGUAGGGGGCGAGCGUUGUCCGGAUUCAUUGGGCGUAAAGAGCUCGUAGGCGGUUUGGCAAGUCGGGUGUGAAAUCUCUGGGCUCAACUCAGAGAGGCCACUCGAUACUGCUAUGACUAGAGUCCGGUAGGGGACCAUGGAAUUCCUGGUGUAGCGGUGAAAUGCGCAGAUAUCAGGAGGAACACCAAUUGCGAAGGCAGCUCGCUGGGACGUUACUGACGCUGAGACGCGAAAGCGUGGGGAGCAAACAGG